GCCAGGCUAGCUCAUUGGUAGAGCAGAGGACUGAAAAUCCUUGUGUACCCAGUUCGAUUCUGGGGUCUGGCA
rnacentral:tRNA from 1 species